CCGCCCGUAGCUCAACCGGAUAGAGCACCCGACUUCUAAUCGGACAGCCAGCGAAGGCCUCGAUGCAAGUUCGACUCUUGCCGGGCGGGCCA
rnacentral:tRNA from 1 species